rnacentral:lncRNA from 1 species
GAGCUCACUUGCCGGGAACGAAGUUGGUGGCGAAAGCCCAGGCGUUGUUGUUGACGGGGUCGGCGAGGUGGUCGGCGAGGUUCUCGAGGGGGCCCUUGCCGGUGACGAUGGCCUGGACGAAGAAGCCGAACAUGGAGAACAUGGCGAGGCGGCCGUUCUUGAUCUCCUUCACCUUGAGCUCGGCGAAGGCCUCGGGGUCCUCGGCGAGGCCCAGGGGGUCGAAGCUGCCGCCGGGGUAGAGCGGGUCGACUAUCUCGCCGAGCGGGCCGCCGGCGACGCGGUAGCCCUCGACGGCGCCCAUGAGCACCACCUGGCAGGCCCAGAUGGCGAGGAUGCUCUGGGCGUGGACGAGGCUGGGGUUGCCGAGGUAGUCGAGGCCGCCCUCGCUGAAGAUCUGGGAGCCGGCCUUGAACCACACGGCCUCGCCGAACUUGACGCCGUUGCGGGCGAGCAGCUCGGGGAAGACGCAGCCGAGCGCGCCGAGCAUGGCCCAGCGGCAGUGGAUGACCUCCAGCUCACGGUUCUUGGCGAAGGUCUCGGGGUCAGCGGACAGCCCCGCGGUGUCCCAGCCGUAGUCGCCGGGGAACUCGCCGGUGAGGUAGCUCGGGGGGUCGCCGGAGAGCGGGCCGAGGUAGAGCACGCGGUCGGAGCCGUACCACGGGCUGCUGGACGCCGCCACCUUGGGCUUGCCCGCCGUCUUGCGCAUGGUGAUGCGGCCCUCGCCGAAGGGCGCCGCCCUGGAGGCCUUCACCGGGGUGCCGGCCAUCGCCGGGGAGGAGAGCGCCAUGGUCGCCGCGGCCGCCAUCGCUCGCUGCGUGCUAGCUAGCUAGCCUUGCUUCGAGUGAGCUGAGGCUGGCAGUGACAGUAGGAGGCGCUGGUGGUCGUUGGUGGUGAGGAGUGAAGCGGGAGCGCGCCGGGUUUAAAUAGGAGGAGGGAGCGAUCGGGUCCUUAUCCCGGGGAAUCUUAUGCCGAGUCGCCAUUGGCGCGCGGGGCGCGAGGCGGGCGGAUGGGGCGGCUGAGGUGGCCGCGCGGUGGCCACGGGAGCGGCGGAGGUCGGGAUUUUUUGCGGGGUUGUGGUGGAUUUGGCGCGGUGGAGAUGAGCCGCGAGGGCGACGGUGGGUCGCGGCCGCAGCCCACAUGGCCGCGUGUGGGGCGGCUCGCCGAUGUGGCCGCGCGCUGGCCAGGGGAUCUCCUGCUCACCGCGCCGGGCGGAAGGGGACGGAGGGCGAUGAGUUUGGCCGUUGCGCGCGGUGCAUUCUGAGGCGUGCCGCUGGCCGGAGGACCCCGGGAAAGAGAUAUCUGCCGUUGGCAGGUUGUGCCGGCGACCUACGUGGCCGACAUCUACUGGUUUCACGACUUCACGAGGUGCCCAAUCGGAACGGGUUCAGGACUAGCUCGGAACUGCCGUUUUAUUUUUCGAUUUGCACAUGCAUCAUGUAAAGAUCCUCUGCAAUGGUUGAAGUUUAAAAACUUUUAUCUUUAAAACCGUUAAUUCAAUCGAUGAUCUCUUUUCAUCGUUGACUUUGUCACGACAAGAUCUUCGAAACUAGAUCUCAUGUUGACAUGUUUCGACAAACUUUUUUUUUCUUCCAUAAUUGCUACAUUUUUCCACUCACUUGCUAUAUUAUUAACCACUUACUUGCUCAAUAAAAAUAACUUAAUUGCCAUAUUUUUUUAUGUCGUUUCGUGCAAAGAUUAUCGAUGCUUAUAAAUGCAGUCCCCAAAAUGUUUUGAUGUGUUUGUCAUUUUUAUUCUACUAAGUUGUCAUGUGGUCUCAUAAAAGCUUGUAGGUGCUUAUAAAAUCACAGUUUCUACAUAUAUUUUUUGUGCUUGUCAUUUUAAUCCUACCUCGUUAUCAUAUUGUCCCAAACAACUUGUGAGUCAUUGUAAAAAAAAUAGUUGUUACGGUGUUUGCUGUAUUUAUCUUUUGAAUUCUAUGCUCAAUUGUUAUGUUUUGUGGUAAUAAAAGGACAUUUGAUUGUUUUAAAACGUAGUUGUGCUAGUGUUGUGUUGUGUCGGUCAGUUAAAUUCUAUUAAAAUGAUAUGCUUUUAUAUCAUGUAUAAUAAAAUAUGUUACAAGGCUUUUGUACGAAAUAAUAUUAAAAAGUGACAAUCAAGUUAUUUUUUUAGGCAAGUAAGUGGUUACUAAUAUGGCAAGUGGGUCAAAAAAUAUGGCAAGUAUGAACAGAAAAAAAAAGUUGACGAAACAUAUCGAUAUGGGAUCUAGUUUUGAAGAACUCGUCGCGAGAAAGCCAAUGAUGAAAACGGAUCAUCGAUUGAAUUAACGGUUUUGGAGAUAAAACUUUUUGAAUUUCAAACAUAAAAAAGAAUCGCGGGUUGUCCUCCCGCCGCACGGCAAAGCAGCGCUGCGCAUGCUAUCAAUUAGAUUUUUCCUUUAUUUUUUAUUUCUUACCGGCAAAACGAUCCGUAUGUUGAAACGGAAAAAAAAUCAUAAUCUUUAAUGAACAUGAACAUAUUUUCCUGCAUCAUCAAGAUAAAAAAAUAUCACUCUCAUUUUCAUGAAAUCGUGGAUAGUUUUUAAAAAUACAGAACAUAUUAAACUCAUGAACAUAUUUGCAAUCGGGAAUAUGUUUCAAAUUCACAGACGUUUUUACAGAUUUUUGAACAUUUUCAAAGAUCAUGAACAUGUUAUACUAUUUUCACACAUUUUUUAAAAUAUAGGAAAAAUAUUAAACAUUUUUCCUGAAUUGGCGAACAUUUUUCUAGAACCGAAGAUCACUUUUUUGGAAAUUUGUCGGCCAAUUUCUGAAAUUCACCAACAUUUUUUUGAUUUUAAAAUUAUUUUUUGAGUUCCAUGAUCAUUUUUUGAAUCAGCGAACAUUUUAUGAAUCAUAAACUAUUGUGUAAUUCACGAUCAGUUUUUGAAUUUUCUCGAUAUUUUUCAAUUUAAGAACAUUUUUUGAAUUGUAUUUUUUUCAAUUGAUUAUUUUGUUAACAUAUGAACGUUGAUAACAAAUCAUGAUUUUUUUUUGGAUUUUCCGAACCUUUGCUACCAAAAUUAUGAAAUUUUUAUGAAUAGGUGUUAUUUAAAAUUGCAAAUAUAUUUUUUAAUCCACAGACGUUUAGAAUUAUUAAACAUUCUAUUACUAAAAAUGUAUUUAAAAAAUUCGGAAUUUGUUUGAAGUCCUGAAUUAUUUAAACUAGAAAGAACAAAGACGGAAAAGGAAAACAAAAUUUAGAAAAUAGGACACCCAGAUAUGGAUCAGCCCAAACAAGUGCGACGUGUUUUCUUCCAGCACACAGAGCACAGUGUAAGAGGUUCCUACUUGAUGGGCCAGCCCAAACGGGGAUUCCCUUUGUGAAAUGUUUGUUAUCACUUGUGGCAACGCUAGGUAAUAUUUUACAACUUUAAAGGUAAUUUAUGUGAUGCACCUUAAGAAGCACUAAUGCCUUUAUUAAUAUAGGUAUAUAUAUAUGCAACAGACUGUUUACACGUGCAAUCAAGUUUUGCAAGUCUUGGGCCUAUAUAUAUAUAUAUAUAUAUAUAUAGGCCCAAGACUUGCAAAACUUGAUUGCACGUGUAAACAGUCUGUUGCAGUUACUUUGGUUGUAGCCUAGAGAUGUGAAAUGUUAUUUCAACCAACCAGAAGAGAGUGCUUGAUACUUGUGAUCUGCAUUGAGUUUUUUAUAAAGAGGAAUGGAUGAUGCAUCACAGUAUAAAUGGUAAAUUGUAAUGCGUGCUCAAGUUCCGCAACACACCCAAUACAAUGACAAAUUGCAUAGGCGAACUAGUUCGGCGAAGAGAUGUGAUACAAGUGUAGUAUGGAUAGUAUAAAUAUAUUUUUAUAAUCCGAAUAAGUAAAAAGAGCGAGGCAACAAGUAGUAAACAACGAGAAAAACGGUAUAUUAAUGUUGGAAUUAUGCCCUAGAGGCAAUAAUAAAUAUAGUUAUUAUUAUAAUUCCUGUAUCAAGAUAAUAGUUUAUUAUCCAUGCUAUAAUUGUAUUGAAUGAAGACUCAUUUACAUGUGUGGAUACAUAGACAAAACACCGUCCCUAGCAUGCCUCUAGUUGGCUAGCCAGUUGAUCGAUGAUAGUCAGUGUCUUCUGAUUAUGAACAAGGUGUUGUUGCUUGAUAACUGGAUCACGUCAUUGGGAGAAUCACGUGAUGGACUAGACCCAAACUAAUAGACGUAGCAUGUUGAUCGUGUCAUUUUGUUGCUACUGUUUUCUGCGUGUCAAGUAUUCAUUCCUAUGACCGUGAGAUCAUAUAACUCACUGACACCGGAGGAAUGCUUUGUGUGUACCAAACGUCGCAACGUAACUGGGUGACUAUAAAGAUGCUCUACAGGUANNNNNNNNNNNNNNNNNNNNNNNNNNNNNNNNNNNNNNNNNNNNNNNNNNNNNNNNNNNNNNNNNNNNNNNNNNNNNNNNNNNNNNNNNNNNNNNNNNNNUCCUCGCCUCUAGCUCGCGCACCCCUCGCCGGAGUCGGCACCAGAGAGCUUCACCCAGGAGCUCCUCCAUCGCCCCCCCCUGCACGCUUUCCCCCUGCCGAGCCCACCUCACCCCGCCACCACCUCCCCACCACUCGGCCCCCUCCUCCACCACCCCUCCACCCCGCUGCUGCUCCUCCCCAUCACCACUACCAGGCAGCCAGGAGCUUCCCCGUCGGCUCCCCCACAUGCAGGCUCCCUCCUCCCCCUUCGGCCCUCCCCCCAGGAGUCUCCACCGGCCCCUUCCCCACCCCUCGCCGGCCCCUACCCCACCCCACCGGAGCUCACCCCGUGCACCCCCUUCCCACCUCGGCCACAAUAGCCAGCCACGGGAGCAGCUCCAGCCACGGUAAGGCUCCACUCCCCCUCCUGUUUCUUUUUUGUUUUUAUGUAGUAGCCCUUAGAUCCAUAAUCUACGGUGUAGAUUAGGAAGUACUUACCCCUUCGGUUUUCUAAAAAGAACCGGUCCAUCAGUUAAGUGAACCGAAGCAUUUUCUUAUUUAGCGGCCAUCCGCUGUUUAGUCUAUGCAGCAAACACCCCUUAGCCAAUCAGGGACUGCCACGUAGUUAGUUAGCUUUUAUUCUGUUUUUUUUUCAGAUUUAGUUCAAAAACAGAAAGUUCCAAUCUUGUUUAGCCCAUAACUUUUGAUCCCGAAGUCCAAUGAUAGUGAUUCUUUUUCCAGUAGCUCACAAAGUUCCUGUAGUUUCUAAAAACAUAUAAUUUGUAUAUGUUUGAAAUUUUCGAAUAUAAGUUAGAUCAGAUUUAGUUUAAACAUUGUUUUGCCUAUUCCAGGAGUUUAAAAAUAUCUUUUAAUCUGAUUCCUUUUGGUACUGAUCACUAGUGAUCCUAUUUAUAAGUGGUAAAAAUUUCCAAUUUGUUUGAGUAUAUUAGCUCACUGUUUCUUGUGAAACAAUUUCUGUUUCAUCUCUUUUAGGAUUUCGGCUAAUUCCUUUUCUACUUUUGUUUUAAAAUAUUUUCUUUAUUAUUUCAGAAACAUUAUUGUUUUGUUUAUGUUAGUUAACAGUAGUUUUGGAACAAGUUUUUAUUUUAUUUUUAUUUGUUUUCAUGAAAUCAAUUCUAGUUCCUUAUUAACUUGCAAUUGGUUUCCGCACUGUUUCAAAUCCCGUUUGGGAAUACUUUCAAAAAGUUUUGUGAAAAAUACUUUAUUUUAUCUUAGUUAAACUUAUAUCUUAGUUCCUUGUUAUUAUUUUCUGUUAGACAAAAACUAGUUAGUGUUUGAUGUAGAAGAAGACUCCUAGUUUAGUAAAGUUUCUUUCGGAUUCUUAUUCGCUCUCUCUUUUGUUUUGAUUGCUAGAAUGAUUGCUAGUAUGAGUGCUUAUGUGAAUGAUAUGUUUGUUAUAUAGAUUCCCUCGGAGAGUGACGAGUAGUCUAUCAAGUUAUUUUCUCGAGAAAUUCUUCUUCGUCAACAUCACCAGGCAAGUCACUUUGAUCAUACUAUCACCUAUGUUUUAUGCAUCGUAGUUCUACCAUCCUAUGCCCAAAUUGCAUGCUGCUUAAGUACUUGGAAAUUUUAGUAUAGGUUGUAGUAUCAUGUGGUAGGCACCCAACAACCCCGAUACUUGGCCCCGGGACGACAAAUUUCAUAUUGCUAUGCUUGAGGAGACGGGAUUUCGGUUGAGUGCAUAACACAAGUGAUGCGAGGUUGAUUAAAUAAUCAAGACCGGUUAAGACAAGAUUUUCAAGAUCUUGGACACAAUGCAACUCUGGGUGAAGGACGGUUGAUCGGCUCCCUGGAGAACCCAGUGGAUGACCCGGGAUGCUGGAGAGGCCAUGACAUCCUGCGGAAAGCUUCACCCAGGCUCAAAGAGACGGACGGAUAUUUUCAAGACCCAAGGCUUACCUGCACAGCCACAAGUCAUUAUGGGCUCUGGCUUGGUUGGACAACGCGGCGACUCUGGACAGGCGGUGCUAGCAGAUGUAGAAGAAUGGUAUGAAUGGAUGGGCACCGACAGGGAUUCAGAGGGACCCGUUGAAAGACCAUGUUUUGAUCAUCCGGUCUUCAAACACCCUGAAGUGYGAGGACAUACACGGAGGCGAUCAAAUCUUGUGGGGAACGUGUGCAAAACUCUACAGAGUACUCAAACCUAAUCGAUUAGCCGUGUCCACGGUCAUGGACAACUUGAGCCAAAGGAACUGAAGUUAUCUGGAUUUCUCAACACCAUUAUAUAUAUUUGAUGAGGGUAAUUAUUGACAACUCGGGUACGAGAACUGGUUGGCGGAACCAUCUCGUUAACAACCAACCUUGUAGUAAUAUUUUUCUUUUAGCCCUCUUGAUGUUGGAGAAAACUUGCUUUUCGCUAAAAAACUUAUAGCCCCAGCUGCCAUAAAUGCAUAUAGUAUAGAUGAUUACUUUUCACCCCUCUCUUAUGKGACUUGCCAGCAUAUUCAAUAUGCUGACCUACACGGCURCAACAUCUUAUGUUGCAGAUAUUUUUCUUCGAUGAGUAAGAGUACGAUUCAGGGUUACGGUCAACCCUCAACUUGCCGUUGGUGUUUAUUGGGACUCCACUCCCUUGACUGCUUCCGCUGAGAUAUUUAAGGUAUACAUCAGUUUUACGCUAUUUACAUGUGAUUGCACUUUGAUAUAUACAUUGAUGUACUCUGUGUGCCAGCAUACUGAUCCACGGAUGGCACAGAAACACAGAGGCUUGACUCGUCUUGAGUCGGGUCGCUACUGAAAUGGUAUCAGAGCACAUAUUGACUGUAGGACGUGACCCUAGAAACUAGAAAUUUCUUAGGAAAGGAUCUCUCAAAAAUUUUAUUUUCAACAACACCUUUUACUUCUCAUCUCUUCUGAUUUCAUCGAAUGUUCCCUCUCACCUCAAAUAGUUAGACAAUACCCUUACCCCUUUGACCUCAUGAAUAAUCAACGGAGUUCUACUUCAAAUUAAAGAGGAUUUCCUCAUGCAAUUGAAGCUACACCAAUUGAAGACUCUCAAGACCCGAAGAACUUGAAGACCCCGAAACGUUCGAAUAUUUAUAUGACCAUUAGAAGUCCAAACCCCUGUUAUAUACCCACGUUAGAUACGAUGAUUUGUGAGCCGUCAUUGGUGUGUGUUUUUCGAUAGCCACAAAUAAAACCCAUUCUCAAAAAUAUUGUUUGUAUUGUGUGUAUCUCCCUCCCUCUCUUACCCGUCUCAUCCCCAAAACCUCAACCCUACCAGAUGGAGUAUGAAGCUGGACUUGUAGUCUCUGGACCAAUGACCCAGCUAGAGGCUGAAAUAUGGACUCAGAACAUGGAGAACCACUUCGGGAGCAACUUGAUCUCAAGGAAGUAUGAAGUGGAACACGCUCUCUAGUACUUUACCCAAAGUGCUGCAAUCUGGUGGAAAAUGCACCAUGCCAUACAAGGAUUUAGUGGAGCAGAAACCUGGGACGAAUUCAAGAACACCCUGUUAAGAUCCCGUCUCAUUCGGAAGUGCUAUGAUAAUCCGAAGGAGAAGACUUGUGCAUGCAAGAUCUAUGGAGAAAUAGGACACACCCAGGAAGAACACAAGGAUCGAUGCACUCAUUGUGAAGAAAAUCACCCAGCUGAGGAGUGCCCAAGUAGUCAGGUGACUUGUUUCCUUUGUGAAGGAACCACCCACUACCCAGCUCAGUGUCACAUUUACCCCAAGGUGCAACAGGUUGUCAAGCAGCAGAAAGAUGCAGUGAAGGAACCCCUCAAGAAGAAGAUUCUAGAAGAACCGAUGAUGAACGAAAAUAUUGAAGACCCUGAUGGACAAGGUCUGACCAGAUUUUUCUCCAAUGCAUGUUACUCAUGUGGAGAAGAAGGACAUUAUUCACAGGAUUGCACGAAGGAAAGCCAAGAGUAGCUGGGAAACUUCCCGACGGAAGAAGUGGAGUUUGAUCCACUUGAAAUAGAAGAACUGGCCAAAAUAAAGGAGUCCAGAAAGAAGAAAAAGUACCCUCGGAAGAACCAAAUCUCUGCAGACAUAGACCUGAGUCAUGUCAGAUGUUACAAGUGUAUGAAAUUUGGCCACCACAAAUACAUGUGCUCAGGAAGGAAGCCGGAAAUCCAAGGAGCAAAAGAAAAAGCUAAGAGGCCUCGAGACUUGUCAGAACUCAUUUGCUUUCGUUGCAAGGAAGCAGGACAUUUUGCUAGCGAUUGUCCACAAAGGAAGAAAGCUAAGAAGGAGUAGUUAAGUUUUGACCGCGGCACUUAGUGUAAUAUGAAUAACUCUUGUUUUUCAUGAGAUCAUGGAGUGAAAUUUUGUAAAGAAGUCCCUGAGAUUGUAAUAACAUCAUGAAUAAAUGGAAUUUAUUGUCUCAUGAUUGCCUAUGUUGAAACUGUAUGCGUUGUUUCUCUGCGAACAAAGAUCUCUGAACAUUUAUGAGGAUAUGAGAAAAUAUGGUCUAUGCAUGCAUGAGUAUUAUUCAUUUUAAGUGUGGUAGUAAUCGGUAAACCCACAGGAUCCACUGAGUAGGAAUGUACCAUGAUUACCAAGGAGACACAUACAUUCCUCUGAGUACCUAUUUACUGACACCUACAGAUGACACCUCUCUACGAGUCAUUCCUCAAGGGCCCAGAAACGAUCAUGACCCUGACCAGUGACCAUGAUUACCCGAAAAUCCUGAAGGACAUGAUGAAGCACAUUCACCUUGAAGGAGAUGCAGUCUACAAAGGCUACCCAUUUAUGGAAAAUUGAGUGGAACUUUGGUACGUGGAAGUACACCUCCACCAUGUGAAAGGAGUUUGUCCAAAGACUAUGGGGAAAUACUUUUUCAUUUCACGUGUACCGCGAGCAACCUUCUUUGAUGCUGUUCGUGAAGCUGCCAUGGAAGCCAUACGUCAGAUUGGAGAAAUACUUGAAGCAAGACUCCGUCAUACCCAGGAAUACCUGAGUGAGGUACGUGCGUAGAUGAUGGAGAUGAAGCUCAUGACCACCAUGAUGAAGCGAAAGAUGGAUGAUUUCAAGGAGUACCUCGGAAAGUUCGAGUGGAAGUACCUCCAAGAGAGACAGAUGAAUAAAGUUGGCAGAAAUGCUUGACCAUACCGAACAAUGUGGAUGGCAGCAUUUGUAAUAAAUUACUUUUGAGUUAGAAUUUUGAAGAAAGCAAGGAUGUAAUAAAGGAUAGAUUAUGUAAUGAAUAUGAUUUAUGGAAGAAGCUAUGAUGGAUCAGCAAACGUUUUCUUAGGAGCAUACGAAAGCCAGAGAGUUGUGGAGAUACGAUAGAUGUUUCGUUCAGCUUGCAGAACCAAUGGUUUAUCCGAACUUCGUUCGUGGACAAGAGAAACUCUGCAACGCUUGUGAGGAUGCCCAAGUGUUAGAAUGCGAGAUUCGCUAAACCUUAUACAGAGAAAUGAUUUGGGUGCGGAAUGGAUCGAUCACCAUGACGACUUACUCUUAUCAUUUAUCUUGCUAUUCAGAAUGGUAAAUCUGAGAGACUUACCCAUAUAGAGAGAUGACGUUCUUUGAAGCUUUUGUUUAAGACUUAGAGUGGUAUAAGAAAAGCCCAUGCACAUGGCACUUGUUGACACGCGUAGGAAAUUUUACGAUGAGAAUGAAACCAAGACCCCACUCUCUGCAAGAUAACCACAAAUGGUAUACCACCAUGAGAACCAUCGAUAUGUUAUUUAGAAUUGACCGCGAGACUGUCAGUUAAGAAGACCCAGUAAAGGAAGAAGCUUAUAUCAACGGAAGAACUCUCGAUUUUGAUGGAAAACGUUAUGAAUGUAACGAAAGAGCUUCACCAGAGGAGUUAGUAUGAAGACUGUGAGGAGUCAGAUGCCAAAACCCCACCGGAUUGUCAAAAAUCUUAUGGGACAAGUAAUCUUCAUUUUAAGUGUAGUAGCAUCCCACUUUGCUGGAAGUUGGAUUUGUUAGAAGACCCCCAAACCCUAACGUUUCUUUCUAGCCUCUUCGAAUCUCGAGGACGAGAUUCAUUUUAAGUGUGGUAGGUUUGUAACAUCCCAAAUUUUGGAAUGUUAAAAUAAUUAUUAGAUUGUUUGUUUGUUUGCUUGAGUGAUUGAAACUUGUGUGAAAUUUGAAACUUUUCAAAAACUUUUGAAUGAUAGGGAAUAAAAUGACUUUCCCCAUCUCUGAUGAAUUCAAAUUCAAUCUUUUAAAAGAAAAGAGAGAAGAUGACAUGACUUCUUCAACUAUAAAGAAUUUGAACGGAGUUUGCAUUUGAAUCCUUUCAAAUUAUUUGCCCUUGCUUCUAUAUUUUUCUUCCCCGAGAAAAUGCCCCGACAAAAUUCUUGCACGCAUGAAAGAGCGGAGGAAAAUGACCCUCCAAAAACCAGGGCCAUUGAUUGAAAUAUUUUGAGCCAAGAAAAAACCAAAAUUUAAUUUGAGAAAAUAAUUGCAAAAAUAAAUAAUGCUUUUAGGGAUUUUUUGGAAAAACAUUUUUUUAAGUUUUCAUUUUGGCCGUUGAAAAAUGCCCAUCAUUUAGAUUUUAUUUUUCUGAUAAUUUUAGUAUAUAGAAACCUUAUAUUCCGAAUUGAUUUGAUUUGCCUUUUAUCGUUUUAGUUUCCUAGUUUUGAAAAAGGAAAGAAAUCGUGUUUAAAUGGAAAUAAACGGUCGCCCAUUAAAACCUUUCCAAAAACUGGCCCAACAGGAUCUUCUUCUUCCUCUAUCUCCUUCCUCACGUGCAUAGGACCUUCCUUAGCCAUGGACAGAGAAAUCCUCACUUCCGGAAUUCGCGAAGUUCUUUCCCUCCUAGCCUCUCCCGUCGCCCCUAUAAGAAGGCCCCGGUCCUCCUCGUUCCAUUCCCGUUGGAAUCGCCGCCUCUCCCCACCUCCUCCCCCCCCCCUGUGGACCUCGGCGGAGUCGGCCACAGGAACUCGCCGGCGACCUUCCCCAUCGCCCCUGCACCCCCUCCCCACCCCACCGACUUUCCCCAUCGCCCCUGCACCUCCUCCACCACCCCACCCCGUCGCCCCCCUGCAUCCCUCCCCAUCCCCACCGAGCUCCCUGCCAGGAGUUCCCCG